UACAGAGGAUGCAAGCGUUAUCCGGAAUGAUUGGGCGUAAAGCGUCUGUAGGUGGCUUUUUAAGUCCGCCGUCAAAUCCCAGGGCUCAACUCUGGACAGGCGGUGGAAACUACCAAGCUGGAGUACGGUAGGGGCAGAGGGAAUUUCCGGUGGAGCGGUGAAAUGCGUAGAGAUCGGGAGGAACAUCCAUGGCGAAGGCAGCUACCUGGACCAACACUGACACUGAGGCACGAAAGCGUGGGGAGCAAACAGG
rnacentral:rRNA from 1 species